rnacentral:lncRNA from 1 species
GCUAAGCUUUAACCGACAAGUGUAGAAGCAUAAAGUAAGAUCGUCUGACAUUAUCUUUUUUGGGCCAAUGUAAGGAUUGUCAUCAUUUCCUUGUACCGUAAUAACCUUGUUUUGCAAUUAGAUGUAAUCAUGAGUAAGGUUAUUCGGUCCGGCCCCAAAACCUGCCUGAAAAAUGAGAGAAUUUGAGUAAAAAUAUAAGCACAAAAUAUAGGUUUUGGCAAAAAAAUGAGGUCCAGUGCUUGGGUAAAACUUUUUUAGCCCAGGCCCAGCACGGCCCAGCCCGAAUUAUAUAUUAAGCUUAGCAAUUUUUUCUCGGUCCAGACUUAGACAAAUUUUUAGACUCAUAUUUCGGACCAAACCCGGGCUUAAAAACGGGCCUAAAAUUUUGUCUGGGACCGGCCCAACUCGGCCCAUGAUCACCUGUAUUUGCAACGAGUAAUGCUAUUGAUUAUAUUACCUUGCCGUUCAAGUCAUUUUUUAAUCUAUUCUGUUCAUAGCUGUUGAACCACUGAGAUCACUGAUUCAAAUGUAUAAUUGCACAAUCCCAUGCCUCUCCAAUAAAAAAAGGGACUUACACACAACUUUCCUGCAAAUACAAAUUCCUAAUGAACAUGAUUCCUUAGAUCAGUUGAACUUGUUAUGAAAAAUAUGGGUUUUUGGGUUAUACAUUGUUCAAAUAUAACUAUAAACCAGACUAUCAGUUAAUUUAAAGGAAUAUAAAAGAACCUGCAUACUUAGUCUGUG